rnacentral:lncRNA from 1 species
UUGUAUUGAGUUACUUGUACAGGAAGACAGGAACAGAAGAAAAUGUCCACAAGGAUUAUGGAAAUACUGGUGGUGUUAUGUACCUAUACUGAUAUAGUGUGAUAACAGAAAUGAAUUCAGGAGAAAGGAAAAGUGAUGUAUCUCUUAUUAGAAAAUGAGAGUAUUUCUCUUACAUACAAAAGAAUCUUACAUUGCUAUUUAUAGACCUACACUGCUUACAAGUAAAGCUAUCAUUUAACUAUAGGUCGCUUAACUAUAUUUUAAUUAUUGACUCUAGUUCUAACUGACUAACUGACACAUUUAUCACAUGCUUAUUUGACAUGUCACUGUCAAGUCCAAAUGGUGC